CAAAUGACUCUCAGCAACGGAUAUCUUGGCUCUUGCAACGAU
rnacentral:rRNA from 1 species